GAUGAACGCUGGCGGCGUGCCUAAUACAUGCAAGUCGAGCGAACAGACGAGGAGCUUGCUCCUCUGACGUUAGCGGCGGACGGGUGAGUAACACGUGGAUAACCUACCUAUAAGACUGGGAUAACUUCGGGAAACCGGAGCUAAUACCGGAUAAUAUAUUGAACCGCAUGGUUCAAUAGUGAAAGACGGUUUUGCUGUCACUUAUAGAUGGAUCCGCGCCGCAUUAGCUAGUUGGUAAGGUAACGGCUUACCAAGGCAACGAUGCGUAGCCGACCUGAGAGGGUGAUCGGCCACACUGGAACUGAGACACGGUCAAGACUCAUACGGGAGGCAGCAGUAGGGAAUCUUCAGCAAUGGGCGAAAGCCUGACGGAGCAACGCCGCGUGAGUGAUGAAGGUCUUCGGAUCGUAAAACUCUGUUAUUAGGGAAGAACACAUGUGUAAGUAACUAUGCACGUCUUGACGGUACCUAAUCAGAAAGCCACGGCUAACUACGUG
rnacentral:rRNA from 1 species